UGGGGAAUAUUGGACAAUGGAGGAAACUCUGAUCCAGCAAUUCUGUGUGUGUGAAGAAGGUUUUAGGACUGUAAAACACUUUUAGUAGGGAAGAAAAAAAUGACGGUACCUACAGAAGAAGCAACGGCUAAAUACGUGCCAGCAGCCGCGGUAAUACGUAUGUUGCGAGCGUUAUCCGGAAUUAUUAGGCUUAAAGGGCAUCUAGGCGGUAAGACAAGUUGAAGGUGAAAACCUGUGGCUCAACCAUAGGCUUGCCUACAAAACUGUUGAACUAGAGUACUGGAAAGGUGGGUGGAACUACACGAGUAGAGGUGAAAUUCGUAGAUAUGUGUAGGAAUGCCGAUGAUGAAGAUAACUCACUGGACAGAAACUGACGCUGAAGUGCGAAAGCUAGGGGAGCAAACAGG
rnacentral:rRNA from 1 species